UACGUAGGGAGCGAGCGUUGUCCGGAUUUAUUGGGCGUAAAGAGCGCGUAGGCGGCUCGGUAAGCCGGAUGUGAAACCUCCAAGCUCAACUUGGAGCGGCCAUUCGGAACUGCCGUGGCUAGAGUCUGGUAGGGGAACACGGAAUUCCUGGUGUAGCGGUGAAAUGCUUAGAUAUCAGGAGGAACACCAGUGGCGAAGGCGGUGUUCUGGGCCAGUACUGACGCUGAGGCGCGAAAGCGUGGGGAGCGAACAGG
rnacentral:rRNA from 1 species